rnacentral:lncRNA from 7 species
AUCGUAAUGGAGAAGCUGGUGGCACCAAAGAUUGUGAAGUUCUUGUGGGAACUAGGGGGCUUGACACAUCCCUUGCAUCUUCCAUUUACUCUGACCACAGUCCCUCCCUGUUCUCUCAAGUGGAGCUAAGCCCUGCUUCCCUCCCUCUUGAUUCCCAGACAGCUACAUGUACAGUCUACUCCUCCCUCAUGAGCUCUUUGAAGAGACACAAUGGGAGAGUUUGUACAGUCAACCACAGUUGGGAAAAAACUCUGGCUUCUUCAUGUGAUACCUUGGCAUCAUACAGCCUUCAGUGAGGCAGAUCCUUGCUUUGAUUGCUGUACCUAAAGAAAUGCACGGUUGCACAGAGAUUUAUUAUUAUUAUUAUUAUUGUUGUGUGUGUGUGUUUUGGAGACUGGACUCAAAAACUGCACCAGGAGGAAGAGAAUUUGUUUGAAAGGUAUUGUGCUGCUUUAGGCAUGUUCUUUGUUAUCAGCCAGAUAUUUUCAAAUGGGGGUUUUAUCCUUUGGAAAUAAAGCCUCACAGAUUUUGUGCUAGUAUUAGUUAUUUCCCCAUCUCCCCUGUCCUCUACCAAUUCAAAAGUUGUUGUAUAGUUAGAGGAUACUUGCAAAGCCAUUAGCAUAAACCACGCACUGGAGUAUUUGUGUGGUACAGCUGUAAAUCUACCCAAAGCAUCAUCAUAAUCUGCGUUCCAUUCCACUAUUUCAGAUGACUGGGCUUCUGAUGGAUUGCAGAGCUAGUCAGAAAAAUCACGUUCUGCUCCAAUUUUUCGUACUUUCUUUGUAACCCUGCUAAAUUGCAUUAUCUUACUCUGCUUCACUUUUCCUUGGUAUUGAAAUAUGGAUAAUGAUACAGACAUAACAUGGGAUGUGGGAGGAGUGUUAGAAGGCAAAUGUAUUAUUUGCAAAGUGCUUUGAUAUCUCUGGAUUAAAGGAGUUAUGGAAGUGUGAU